CGAGAAGAACAUAUUCAUUUAGCUCCUACAUCCCCAGGGCUUUGUUCCUUUCAUUAGGGACCAGGGCCCGGCACCCUUGUGAAGUUAGGCUGGUGUUUUUCUGCCUCUUCUGAAUCAUUUAGACUUUAUCUUUAAUAUGUAUUCAGAUGCUGAUCUUUUCAAAAAUUCAGAAAGGGCUUUUGCUUUCUCCAGCACCAUUCCUGGCAUCACAGAAUGCUGAAUGAAGCACUCGCAGCUAAAGAGAGGAUCCCCAGUCCUGCGUGGAAUGUUCUUAAGCUCAGUACCAUAGUUGGCGGUAACUGUUGAUAACGCUUUCUGGGUGUUUCCCGUGUGCCUUUUAAUUAGGACUUGUAGAACUCUGUGGUCAAGACUUUUUCAAUAUUCUUCCUCCUCUUACUCUCAUUUAGAUGGAGCAAUGGAAAAAACACAAAGAAGUUGGACUUGGUGCUAAUCAUUACAAAUGCCUAGGUCGGCAGAGUCUCUAUGAAGCACUGGUGUCAAGGCUGUGAGAGGCGAUCUGAUGGCAUGCCAACAUGUAACCUCAGUGUUUCUCCUUGGCAACAAAAGCAGUUUUUCGCCAUAUAAACCAUCCUUACUGGGGUGGAGGGAACAUAUAGUUACAUUUGAGACUAUUUCAUAAGCGUCUAGAAGUAUUGAAUGGUUCCAAGACCCCAAACGUGCAUUUGGUUGGGUGUCCCAUCCUCUAGCCCUGUGGCAGCCAGACAUGUCUCCAUGCAGUUGGGCCUGACCUCACUUGGUUCUGGCUGCAGGGGACCUGGACUGCUACAACCAGAAUUACCAUCCCUGCUGCUGCAAGGCUAAGGCUGGCGAGCCAACCUCUCCCCUUGAAGAGGGAUCAUCCCCUGGCCUUUCCUCGUGGCUGGCCUUGUACCCUCUUCCUCUUUCCUGCCUCUCAGCCCUCCCUCCACCCAGCCCACAAGGAUGGAAGCUAUCCUCUUCUGUGUUGGUAUAAUUUUAAAGAAAGUAGCCCUUCCUAAAACAGGAGUUGUGAGCCAGUCUGCCAAUGCCAGGAAAACAGCUUUCUCGGCACGGCAGGUUUUGGAUAUCUAGAGUGACAGAGCUGGCAUUGUUUGUAGAAGGUUAAGUAAGAUUAAUGAGGAAAGAGAGGAAAGCCGUAAAAGGAUCAACGUUUCCAAUCAAUGAGAGAAUGCAUUUAACGUGGGCUCCACCUGCAGUUUCUUUGGCGUGUGUGUCCUGAUGCCAAUUUGAAAGGUUUUGCCUUUAAUGCUUGUAAGUAACCCACCAAGAAAGACCAGUGUGUACUGAGCGUGUAGCUGUGCCCGAUUUAAGCCUUAUCCUGCAGCCGAUGUAUUGAUCAGGAGGCAUUUGUAGAAGAUGGAGGCGUGUUUUAAUAAGAGCCGGAGAGCGGGCGCUCUCCUCCUUAUUCCCAGGACUUUAAAUUAUGAAUUGCCACUUCAGCAUCUUAUUCGGCAGAGGAGAGAAGAGGGUGGGCAGUUUCACUGCAAUAGAGUAAUAGACACAACAUGAGAAGGCUAGUGUCUACCAAGUGACCCAGUCACGGAACCCGAGAGGCUCUCCAGAGCGGUGCUGAAGGAACUUUGGGGGGGAAAAACAAAGUAGGUUUGCUUUUUAGCUUUUCAGGGAAUGUGCGCUUGAGGCCAUUCAACUCCCAUUUUUGGGGUUGGGGAUAGGGAUUGAUACGAGGCCAGUGCCGUGGAGCUGGCUUGCGGUCACCUGAAGAUGGGCCCACGCUUUCUGCUUCCUGUUGGACAUUUGAAUAGCAGGCUUGACGAAGCCACUUAACUCCUUCCAAUUACAGGGGCCAAAUGGGCAUACACAAGACGGGUGGGGGUGGCUUUCUCACGUGUGCGCAGGUUCACGGGCCAGUGUCGUAAUCAGAUUCCAGAAACUGAACUUGCGGAAAGUUUGUGCUAGCCUUGUGGAUUUUCAUUUCAGAUGUUGUCAACUCAAGGGCAUUUGGGCCAAUCAAUAUCUGCCUGUCUUCUCGCACAUAGAAAGUUGGCUAUUAGAAAAGAGAGGCUUACAGCGGGCUCAGCCAAUACCAUUAGCCCUAGCCUAAGGGCAGUUCUGUCCAUGUGCCCGGAUAGGCACCUGCCCCCUCCCCUCCCCCACCAUUAGAGAGGCCACUUGGGAUGUCAUUUGGACAGAGCGGGCAAAGAGCACUUCUUUCUUCUUUCUCUUUUUUUACACCCAGGCUCCCCCAAAAUCAAUAAAUCUGUUCUUUGCUUAUUUUCAGAACUUUACUUCAAUAUAAGCAAGGACUUCCCUUCCAGCAGCAAACUCCAGUAACCCCAUGUCAGGCUUAUGUGCGCGUGUGUGUGUUUGCUUUUUCUGUUUCAAUUUGAAAAAUAAUUGGAAAUAAUAUCUGAUUGAUGUUCUCACCCCCUUCUUUCUUUUUAGCUAAAGAUUUCCUAGAUGAAAGACCUUGGUCCGUCGCCUUUCAGGAUCCAGGACUUGGUUUUCCGUUCCAGGCAGUCUUUUCUGUUCCGAAUGGUUCCGUGAAAUGGAGGAGGUAUUGUUUUCCUAAGCAGAGGGAACUUUGUGCAAAUUGGUUCCUUGUCUGCUGCGCCAAUUGCGAGCUCCUGAUGUUUUCCUUGAGAUUGUGUCUUUUAGGAGAACAAGAAGAGCUCUCUGGCUCAGACAAAAUCCCGGAGCAGUUAGGAUACCAGGAGAGGAAGGAAGAAUAGUGAAUCGCUUAGUGAGCGUUCAGACUGCCUCCUGGCUCUGCAGAGAGACGGCACCCAGUAACAGAGCCUGGGAGGAAGGCUUGGCAGAGUGCACAGCAGAAGCGAGACACAGAGCACAAGCGAGCAAUUCCUUGCUCUAACGUUGCAACAACCACCCCUCUUUGGGCACCAUGGUUUCCAUGCUGUCCAAAUCUUGUACACUUUCUCUGAAAGAUCUCUUUCACUCCAAGAUAGCUGUAGAGCUGCAGUGAUGAGGGACAGUAAGCCCCCUGUGCAGCGUGCUCGGUGCACCAAUUGCAUUGAUUGUAUUUUCUCAGCAUCAGGGUGUUGCAUCCAUGCGGCUGGCUGGUUUUCUUCAGGCUUGCUGUUUUCACAUUCUCUUUCUUGUGUUUGUGCUUGGUUCUCAGUCCCGUUGUAUCUUUGUGUACACAUACGUGUAGCACUGUCACCGUGUAGGACAGUUCCAUCACGGGGACCUCUUGACACCUCAUGAAAUAAAAUAUUUAAGCAUUUUU